rnacentral:rRNA from 1 species
GACGAACGCUGGCGGCGUGCUUAACACAUGCAAGUCGAGCGGAGCGGCGAACGGGUGAGUAACGCGUGAGUAACUGCCCCCCUCUCUGGGAUAACAGUUGGAAACGGCUGCUAAUACCGGAUAGUGGGGGAUGACUCGGGUCCUAUCAGCUUGUUGGUGGGGUAGUGGCCUACCAAGGCGAUGACGGGUGGCCGGCCUGAGAGGGCGACCGGCCUCAUAGGGCUGAGAAAGGACCCAGACUCCUACGGGAGGCAGCGGGGGAGAAUCUUCCGCAAUGGGCGAAAGUCUGACGGAGCAACGCCGCGUGAGUGAUGACGGCCUUCGGGUUGUAAACUCCGUUCACCAUCGACGCGGUAGAUGGAGAAGAAGCACUGGCUAACUACGUGCCAGCAGCCGCGGUAAUUC